rnacentral:tRNA from 1 species
CUGGUGUUGGCUCAGAUGGUAGAGCAUCUGCCUACAAUGCAGGAGACCUGGGUUUGAUCCCUGGGUCAGG